AAUUAACGCCGUAAACUGUUCUGUGGCACACGCCAUGUUUUAUAGAGUGGGUAGAUGGAUUUGAGCACGAUUAACUAUGGAUCCCCAUAACAGUGCCCAGGAUGUGCACCGAUGUGACCUUUGUGAGACCGCCAUAGUACACAGCUACUGUGACUUUUGUCAUGUCAACCUCUGCAAGCCCUGUGUAGUAGAUCACAUCUCAGAUGGAUAUGACAAACAUAAAAUAGUCCCUUUCCCGGAACGAAGGUCGACCCUGAUUUAUCCGAAAUGUGAAACACAUCCACAAAAAAUGUGCGAAUUGCAGUGCAAAGAUUGUAAUAACAUUUCGAUUUGUUCCUUUUGUACUGCAUCUGAACAACACAGGGGACAUAUUUUCGUACAAAUAUCAACUGUGUACAAGGCACAGAAAGAGACUAUUGAAAAGGAUACAGAAGAGUUAGUAAACACUUUAUCUCCUACAUAUGAAGAAAUUGCACGCGACUUGGAACAUGAGCUUGCAAACCUGGAUGGAGGAUAUGAGAAACUUACAACAACUAUGUCCAAACAAGGAGAGCAAUGGCACAGAGAAAUUGACAUCGUUAUCAACAAAAUGAAAACUGAAAUAAGCGAGAUUAAAGUAAAGCACAGAGACGUUUUAAAGAAACACUUGGAUGAAAUCAAACAGACACAGUCCCUCAUAAAGCAAACGCUACGUGCCAUAAACGAAAUAGAGAAAUCUACCGAAGUAUCUCCAACCAUUGCGUACAGUUCUAAAAUCAGAGAAUUCAGCAAGCUUCCACCCAAAAUUCAGGUAUCACUGCCAACAUUCAUUCCAAAACCAAUAGACCGUGAGAAGCUGUAUAGUUUGUUUGGACAGAUCACCCCAUUAUCUACUGCUACAGAGGGAAAGGUCUUGUCACUAAUCCAACCCAAAACUUCAGUCAGAGAACUACUGGAUAAACCGAAGCGUGUUGCCACAAUACAGACUGGGUAUGAAAAACUAGGCAGUGUUACCUGUCUAAAUGAUGGUAGCAUAUGGACGAGCGGAAUGACCAAUGAUAUCAAAUGCUUCAACAGUAAGGGGUCACUCCUCCAGACAGUCAAACAAAAAUCAUGGAACUACCCCAAUGAUAUAGCUGUAGACAGUGAUGGGGAUCUACUGUAUACUAGUGGAGCAACAAGGACAGUGUAUAAAGUAAAGAAUGGACAGAAAGAAGAGUUGAUCAGAUUUCAGGGAUGGGCGCCCAAACAGCUGUGUGUCACCUCUACUGGUGAUCUCCUGGUUACCAUGGUCAGUGAUGAUAAAACUCAAUCCAAAGUUGUCCGUUACUCGGGAUCUACAGAGAAACAAACCAUUGAAUUUGAUGAUGAAGCUAAACCUCUGUACUCAGGGAAUGGUUGUCCUAAAUACAUCACAGAGAACAGAAACCAUGACAUCUGUGUAGCUGACUGUGGGGCUGGUGUAGUAGUUGUAGUAAAUCAGGACGGGAAACUCAGAUGGAGAUACACCAGUCAUCCCUCAGUUACCAAGAACAAACCAUUUAAACCCUUUGGUAUCACAACAGACAGUCAGAGUCAUAUCCUGACAGCAGACGGUAAAAACCAUUGUAUCCACAUUCUAGACCAGAAUGGACAGUUUCUCCGUUACAUUGAUAACUGUGAUCUGAUGUAUCCUUAUGGUUUAUGUGUGGACAAUAAUGACAAUCUGUUUGUGUGUGAUUUUACAAAGGCAAUGUAAAGAAAAUCAAAUAUUUGAAAUAGACACUCGUUUGUGACAAUGAUAUCAGUUAAAACGUGCUUAACAUUUUUUUCUUUUAACUAUUCAGUAACAUACAGCAUAAGUUUUAUGAUACUUACAUAAAAAAGUUUGAUGAUACCUUAUCAAUUAAUAAAAUGUGGUCGUUGGU
rnacentral:misc_RNA from 1 species